UGCAGUGAAGGAUCUCAGACUUCAGCUCCCGUGUCAGCCGUGUAUGGUGAUAUUUGUCCUACAGGUCACUACUGUGAAAUUGGUAGUGCUGUGCCAACUCCCUGCCCAGUGGGCAGCCGGCGCCCUGAUAGUGGGGGAAAGGGCACAGAUGAUUGCAUGCCUUGCCCUGGAGGUCAGUUUCAGGAUCAGAAGGGACAGAGUGAGUGUAAACCCUGUCCUCCAGGUUUCCAUUGCAUCAACCCCACAAGAGGCUUUAUGGGGGUCAGCACUCCUUUGGUCUGUCCUGAAGGCUUUUACUGCCCCAAUGAGACUCAGUCUGGAAACCCAGUUCCAUGUCCCAAAGGCACAUACAGUGAUUCUCUUGGCCUCAUUUCAGCAGAGCAGUGCCUUUUGUGUCCUAUGGGACAUUUCUGCGGUUCAGAUGGACUCUCUGAGCCCUCGGGGCCCUGUGCUCCUGGAUUCCUCUGUUUUGUGCAGGCCACAGUUCCCAACCCCACUGACAACAGCACUGGCACUUUG
rnacentral:lncRNA from 1 species